ACCAAUGAGUGUGUUUGUUUUGCAGGAGAGCAACUGAGUGAUCCUUCUGCGUUACCUGUCAUCAUUUGAAUGAUCUCCUGAUUCUGGCCAGUGAUGACAGAACUUGAGCCCAUCUGCAACACACUAAAGUAAACUACCAGAUACUGACCAGUUUGAGCGAGGUGACGCUUGUGGCUGACAGAGGAAAAUUCUACAACACACUGAAAUAAACUACCAGAUACUGACCAGUUUGAGUGAGGUGACGCUGGUGGCUGACAGAGGUACAUGGACAAUGGACAUGUGUCUUCAUAAUAAGAGUCUUCUGGAAAUCACAACAGGCAACUCAAUGUUGGAAGGCAGAAUUGGUUUGUUAUCAUAACAAAAACUCUCCAGGCAG